rnacentral:rRNA from 1 species
CCUGGGCGGCCAAGCGAAAGUGAUAAGUAUCCCACCUGGGGAGUACGUUCGCAAGAAUGAAACUCAAAGGAAUUGACGGGGGCCCGCACAAGCGGUGGAGCAUGUGGUUUAAUUCGAUGAUACGCGAGGAACCUUACCAGGGCUUAAAUGNAUAUUGACAGGGGUAGAGAUACCUUUUNCUUCGGGCAAUUUGCAAGGUGCUGCAUGGUUGUCGUCAGCUCGUGCCGUGAGGUGUCAGGUUAAGUCCUAUAACGAGCGCAACCCCUACCGUUAGUUGCCAGCGAGUCAUGUCGGGGACUCUAACGGGACUGCCGGUGCAAACCGUGAGGAAGGUGGGGAUGACGUCAAAUCAUCACGGCCCUUACGUCCUGGGCCACACACGUGCUACAAUGGCCGGUACAGAGAGCAGCCAUCUGGCAACAGAGAGCGAAUCUACAAAACCGGUCACAGUUCGGAUCGGGGUCUGCAACUCGACCCCGUGAAGCUGGAAUCGCUAGUAAUCGGAUAUCAGCCAUGAUCCGGUGAAUACGUUCCCGGGCCUUGUACACACCGCCCGUCAAGCCAUGGAAGCCGGGAGUGCCUGAAGUCCGUCACCGUA